CUGCCCUUUGUACACACCGCCCGUCGCUACUACCGAUUGAAUGGCUCAGUGAGGCCUCCGGACUGGCCCAGAGAGGUGGGCAACUACCACUCAGGGCCGGAAAGUUGUCCAAACUCGGUCAUUUAGAGGAAGUAAAAGUCGUAACAAGGUCUCCGUUGGUGAACCAGCGGAGGGAUCAUUA
rnacentral:rRNA from 1 species